rnacentral:lncRNA from 1 species
GUCUGCUUGUUAUGUUCACACAUCGUUGUCAAUAAAAUGGAAUUUAAAGCUACUGAUAUACAAGUGAGAGGUUUAGCUAGCUAUAAAACCAGGUUUAAUCCAUCAAUUUCUAAAUAAGAAAAAUGCCUGUACCAAGUCAGGAAUAUAACAUUGUUAUCCAUUCCGAUUCGUUUGAUGUGUUUUGAGCUUUUUAUUUUGUCUUUUGAUUACGGACUUGUCGUUUUUAAUUUUCCUCGGAGUUCGGUAUUUUACUUUUUCCUUCAAACAAAGUUGGCCUUAUUAGAUCGUAGUUUAGGCUUUUACAAGCUUUGGUUUCUACCUAACCUGAUGAAUGCAUUCCAUAAAGUUGUCAAGUUCAUUGCAAUGAUGUCAAUACGUUAAUCAUGAUGCUUGCGAAUACACCAUAGAGGGCACCUGUUGCGGGAUAUUCAAGAUACGUUCAGGUUUGUCU